AAUGAACGCUGGCGGCACGCCUAACACAUGCAAGUCGAGCGAAGGCUUCGGCCUUAGUGGCGCACGGGUGCGUAACGCGUGGGAAUCUGCCCUCAGGUUCGGAAUAACAGCGAGAAAUUGCUGCUAAUACCGGAUGAUAUCGCGAGAUCAAAGAUUUAUCGCCUGAGGAUGAGCCCGCGUAGGAUUAGCUAGUUGGUGUGGUAAAGGCGCACCAAGGCGACGAUCCUUAGCUGGUCUGAGAGGAUGAUCAGCCACACUGGGACUGAGACACGGCCCAGACUCCUACGGGAGGCAGCAGUGGGGAAUAUUGGACAAUGGGCGAAAGCCUGAUCCAGCAAUGCCGCGUGAGUGAUGAAGGCCUUAGGGUUGUAAAGCUCUUUUACCCGGGAUGAUAAUGACAGUACCGGGAGAAUAAGCUCCGGCUAACUCCGUGCCAGCCGCCGCGGUAA
rnacentral:rRNA from 1 species